rnacentral:rRNA from 1 species
UGGGGAAUAUUGGACAAUGGGCGCAAGCCUGAUCCAGCAACGCCGCGUGGAGGACGAAGGCCUUCGGGUCGUAAACUCCUGUCAGUUGGGACGAAAAGCCGUCGGUCAAUAGCCGGCGGUCCUGACGGUACCAGCAGAGGAAGCACCGGCUAACUACGUGCCAGCAGCCGCGGUAAUACGUAGGGUGCGAGCGUUAAUCGGAAUUACUGGGCGUAAAGCGUGCGCAGGCGGCUUUGCAAGACAGAUGUGAAAUCCCCGGGCUCAACCUGGGAACUGCAUUUGUGACUGCAAGGCUAGAGUACGGCAGAGGGGGAUGGAAUUCCGCGUGUAGCAGUGAAAUGCGUAGAUAUGCGGAGGAACACCGAUGGCGAAGGCAAUCCCCUGGGCCUGUACUGACGCUCAUGCACGAAAGCGUGGGGAGCAAACAGGAUUAGAUACCCUGGUAGUCCACGCCCUAAACGAUGUCAACUGGUUGUUGGACGGCUUGCUGUUCAGUAACGAAGCUAACGCGUGAAGUUGACCGCCUGGGGAGUACGGCCGCAAGGUUG